CGUGAGAUCUACCUUAGGAGAGAUAACUUCUGAACGCUGCUAAAUCUUCAUAUGUCGAGAGAUGAAAUAGCUUCGGCGCCUAAAGAUGANNUCGCGCCUGAUUAGCUAGUUGGUGAGGUAAUGGCUCACCAAGGCCACGAUCAGUAGCUGGUUUGAGAGAACGAUCAGCCACACUGGGACUGAGACACGGCCCAGACUCCUCCGGGAGGCAGCAGUGAGGAAUUUUCCGCAAUGGGCGAAAGCUGACGGAGCAAUACCGCGUGAGGGAUGACGGAUUUUGGUCUGUAAACCUCUUUUCUCAA
rnacentral:rRNA from 1 species